UCGCGGCCUAUCAGCUUGUUGGUGAGGUAAUGGCUCACCAAGGCGACGACGGGUAGCCGGCCUGAGAGGGUGACCGGCCACACUGGAACUGAGAUACGGUCCAGACUCCUACGGGAGGCAGCAGUGGGGAAUAUUGCACAAUGGGCGCAAGCCUGAUGCAGCAACGCCGCGUGAGGGAUGAAGGCCUUCGGGUUGUAAACCUCUUUCAGCAGGGAAGAAGCGAAAGUGACGGUACCUGCAGAAAAAGCACCGGCUAACUACGUGCCAGCAGCCGCGGUAAUACGUAGGGUGCAAGCGUUGUCCGGAAUUAUUGGGCGUAAAGAGCUCGUAGGCGGUUUGUCGCGUCUGCUGUGAAAAUCCAAGGCUCAACCUUGGACCUGCAGUGGGUACGGGCAGACUAGAGUGCGGUAGGGGAGAUGGGAAUUCCUGGUGUAGCGGUGGAAUGCGCAGAUAUCAGGAGGAACACCAAUGGCGAAGGCACAUCUCUGGGCCGUAACUGACGCUGAGGAGCGAAAGCGUGGGGAGCGAACAGGAUUAGAUACCCUGGUAGUCCACGCCGUAAACGGUGGGUGCUAGUUGUGGGCCACAUUCCACGUGGUCCGUGACGAAGUUAACACAUUAAGCACCCCGCCUGGGGAGUACGG
rnacentral:rRNA from 1 species